UACGUAGGUGGCGAGCGUUGUCUGGAUUUACUGGGCGUAAAGAGCGCGCAGGCGGUCGUAUAAGUCGCGUGUGAAAGCCCCCGGCUCAACUGGGGAGGGUCACGCGAUACUGUUCGACUCGAAGGCAGGAGAGGGAAGUGGAAUUCCCGGUGUAGUGGUGAAAUGCGUAGAUAUCGGGAGGAACACCAGUGGCGAAGGCGACUUCCUGGCCUGUUCUUGACGCUGAGGCGCGAAAGCGUGGGGAGCAAACAGG
rnacentral:rRNA from 1 species